AACGGUAACAGGUCUUCGGAUGCUGACGAGUGGCGAACGGGUGAGUAAUACAUCGGAACGUGCCUAGUAGUGGGGGAUAACUACUCGAAAGAGUAGCUAAUACCGCAUGAGAUCUACGGAUGAAAGCAGGGGACCUUCGGGCCUUGUGCUACUAGAGCGGCUGAUGGCAGAUUAGGUAGUUGGUGGGGUAAAGGCUUACCAAGCCUGCGAUCUGUAGCUGGUCUGAGAGGACGACCAGCCACACUGGGACUGAGACACGGCCCAGACUCCUACGGGAGGCAGCAGUGGGGAAUUUUGGACAAUGGGCGAAAGCCUGAUCCAGCAAUGCCGCGUGCAGGAUGAAGGCCCUCGGGUUGUAAACUGCUUUUGUACGGAACGAAAAGCCUGGGGCUAAUACCCCCGGGUCAUGACGGUACCGUAAGAAUAAGCACCGGCUAACUACGUGCCAGCAGCCGCGGUAAUACGUAGGGUGCAAGCGUUAAUCGGAAUUACUGGGCGUAAAGCGUGCGCAGGCGGUUUUGUAAGACAGUGGUGAAAUCCCCGGGCUCAACCUGGGAACUGCCAUUGUGACUGCAAGGCUAGAGUGCGGCAGAGGGGGAUGGAAUUCCGCGUGUAGCAGUGAAAUGCGUAGAUAUGCGGAGGAACACCGAUGGCGAAGG
rnacentral:rRNA from 1 species